rnacentral:lncRNA from 1 species
UGUUUACAUGAUUUUUGGUGCUUGAAUUUUUUUGGUUUAUAAAUCUUUUUGAGGAAAGGUGUUUAGGAAUUCAAAAUUUUUGAGAAAGGAGAUGAUUGAGAAUCAUUAUUUUGAGGAGAGAAAUUUUUUUUUUUUUUUUUCAAAAUUGUUUAAACGGUGUUUAACUUUACAAUCAUAUUAAGUUAAAUUCAUAUUAAUUAUCGUUUUUAAUCCACUUUUUAUAUUUUGACGAUAAUUUAAUAUAUGAUUUCUUAAUGCAUAUAUUCAUCAAAACUUUGAAAUCAAAUUUGAUUUUUUGGUGAUUAAUUCAUCUUGGUUGUGAGUGUUGGAUAUGAUGAAUGGAUAUUCUCUAAUUGACUAAAAUUCGUCAAAAUUAUUUUCAACUGUGAGAUUGUCUAAUUUAGGGGGAGUUUGAAAUUGUUUAAAAUUUAAAAAAAAAGGGAAAAAGAUACUCCUAUGUUUAAAAGAUGUGGAAAGAGUUACAUCCUAAAAGGAGUGUGAAAACUACCACCACAUGUAGGAAAGAGCUACCACCCCGGUCGUCCGGCAAGUAUGUGAAGCUACCACAUGAAGAUUAAAUUGGGUAACCGAAAAAGGUUGAAAAAAAAUUGAAUAUUUUAAAAUUUUCGGAGUUUUAAGGUGGUAAGAUAAAAAGAUGCUCAAAGAGCCACCCCCGGUAUCAUAUUAGUUAAAUCUCU